rnacentral:rRNA from 1 species
AUUGAACGCUGGCGGAAUGCUUUACACAUGCAAGUCGAACGGCAGCACGGGAGCUUGCUCCUGGUGGCGAGUGGCGAACGGGUGAGUAAUGCGUCGGAACGUACCGAGUAAUGGGGGAUAACGCAGCGAAAGCUGUGCUAAUACCGCAUACGCCCUGAGGUGGAAAGUGGGGGAUCGCAAGACCUCACGUUAUUCGAGCGGCCGACGUCUGAUUAGCUAGUUGGUGGGGUAAUGGCCUACCAAGGCGACGAUCAGUAGCGGGUCUGAGAGGAUGAUCCGCCACACUGGAACUGAGACACGGUCCAGACUCCUACGGGAGGCAGCAGUGGGGAAUUUUGGACAAUGGGGGCAACCCUGAUCCAGUCAUUCCGCGUGAGUGAAGAAGGCCUUCGGGUUGUAAAGCUCUUUCAGCUGGAACGAAACGGUACGCUCUAACAUAGCGUGCUAAUGACGGUACCGGCAGAAGAAGCACCGGCUAACUACGUGCCAGCAGCCGCGGUAAUACGUAGGGUGCGAGCGUUAAUCGGAAUUACUGGGCGUAAAGCGUGCGCAGGCGGAUUGUUAAGCAAGAUGUGAAAUCCCCGGGCUUAACCUGGGAAUGGCAUUUUGAACUGGCAGUCUAGAGUGCGUCAGAGGGGGGUGGAAUUCCACGUGUAGCAGUGAAAUGCGUAGAGAUGUGGAGGAACACCAAUGGCGAAGGCAGCCCCCUGGGAUGACACUGACGCUCAUGUACGAAAGCGUGGGUAGCAAACAGGAUUAGAUACCCUGGUAGUCCACGCCCUAAACGAUGUCAACUGGUUGUUGUG